rnacentral:lncRNA from 1 species
CCGGGAGGGUGGUCGCGGGCACCACGUGGGUGCUGCGUCCGUGGGUGCAGCGUUAAGAAAGAAAAUGGGAUCUCCGUUUCGCCAGCAUUCAUCUGCUGUGGUUCCUUAUCUUCCAGGAAGUCACCUGAAAUGGUGGUGUGACUGUCCAGAGGUUACAAGUGGCUGGAAAGCGAAAGCCCCCAAAGGCUCCUUGUUAAACACCCAGGAUAAGAUGCUAACAGUUCAUUUUGAAUCUGGCGGACGUAACACAGUCAACAUAUGGCGUGAGAAGAGGAUCCGAUGGCAACAGAUUUUUGGUUCAUUUUGAGAGAAAAACACAGAUAAACACAGGCUUUUGCUGUUUAAAAACUGAGUCAUCAUUUUCAUAAAACAAACAG